rnacentral:rRNA from 1 species
AUUGAACGCUGGCGGCAGGCUUAACACAUGCAAGUCGAGCGGAGAUGAGGUGCUUGCACCUUAUCUUAGCGGCGGACGGGUGAGUAAUGCUUAGGAAUCUGCCUAUUAGUGGGGGACAACAUUCCGAAAGGAAUGCUAAUACCGCAUACGUCCGACGGGAGAAAGCACUGGAUCUUCGGACCUUGCGCUAAGAGAUGAGCCUAAGUAGGAUUAGCUAGUUGGUGGGGUAAAGGCCUACCAAGGCGACGAACUGUAGCGGGUCUGAGAGGAUGAUCCGCCACACUGGGACUGAGACACGGCCCAGACUCCUACGGGAGGCAGCAGUGGGGAAUAUUGGACGAUGGGGGGAACCCUGAUCCAGCCAUGCCGCGUGUGUGAAGAAGGCCUUAUGGUUGUAAAGCACUUUAAGCGAGGAGGAGGCUACUGAGACUAAUACUCUUGGAUAGUGGACGUUACUCGCAGAAUAAGCACCGGCUAACUCUGUGCCAGCCGCCGCCGUAACAC